GGUUAAGCGACUAAGCGUACACGGUGGAUGCCCUGGCAGUCAGAGGCGAUGAAGGACGUGCUAAUCUGCGAUAAGCGUCGGUAAGGUGAUAUGAACCGUUAUAACCGGCGAUUUCCGAAUGGGGAAACCCAGUGUGAUCCGUCACACUAUCAUUACGUGAAUACAUAGCGUAAUGAAGCGAACCGGGGGAACUGAAACAUCUCAGUACCCCGAGGAAAAGAAAUCAACCGAGAUUCCCCCAGUAGCGGCGAGCGAACGGGGAGCAGCCCAGAGUCUGAAUCAGCAUGUGUGUUAGUGGAAGCGUCUGGAAAGUCGCACGAUACAGGGUGAAAGUCCCGUACACAAAAGUGCAUGUGUUGUGAACUCGAAGAGUAGGGCGGGACACGUGGUAUCCUGUCUGAAUAUGGGGGGACCAUCCUCCAAGGCUAAAUACUCCUGACUGACCGAUAGUGAACCAGUACCGUGAGGGAAAGGCGAAAAGAACCCCGGCGAGGGGAGUGAAAAAGAACCUGAAACCGUGUACGUACAAGCAGUGGGAGCACCCUUCGGGGUGUGACUGCGUACCUUUUGUAUAAUGGGUCAGCGACUUAUAUUCUGUAGCAAGGUUAACCGAAUAGGGGAGCCGAAGGGAAACCGAGUCUUAACUGGGCGUUAAGUUGCAGGGUAUAGACCCGAAACCCGGUGAUCUAGCCAUGGGCAGGUUGAAGGUUGGGUAACACUAACUGGAGGACCGAACCGACUAAUGUUGAAAAAUUAGCGGAUGACUUGUGGCUGGGGGUGAAAGGCCAAUCAAACCGGGAGAUAGCUGGUUCUCCCCGAAAGCUAUUUAGGUAGCGCCUCGUGAAUUCAUCUUCGGGGGUAGAGCACUGUUUCGGCUAGGGGGUCAUCCCGACUUACCAACCCGAUGCAAACUGCGAAUACCGAAGAAUGUUAUCACGGGAGACACACGGCGGGUGCUAACGUCCGUCGUGAAGAGGGAAACAACCCAGACCGCCAGCUAAGGUCCCAAAGUCAUGGUUAAGUGGGAAACGAUGUGGGAAGGCACAGACAGCCAGGAUGUUGGCUUAGAAGCAGCCAUCAUUUAAAGAAAGCGUAAUAGCUCACUGGUCGAGUCGGCCUGCGCGGAAGAUGUAACGGGGCUAAACCAUGCACCGAAGCUGCGGCAGCGACACUAUGUGUUGUUGGGUAGGGGAGCGUUCUGUAAGCCGUUGAAGGUGUACUGUGAGGUAUGCUGGAGGUAUCAGAAGUGCGAAUGCUGACAUAAGUAACGAUAAUGCGGGUGAAAAACCCGCACGCCGGAAGACCAAGGGUUCCUGUCCAACGUUAAUCGGGGCAGGGUGAGUCGACCCCUAAGGCGAGGCCGAAAGGCGUAGUCGAUGGGAAACAGGUUAAUAUUCCUGUACUUGGUGUUACUGCGAAGGGGGGACGGAGAAGGCUAUGUUAGCCGGGCGACGGUUGUCCCGGUUUAAGCAUGUAGGCGGAGGUUCCAGGUAAAUCCGGUACCUUAUUAACGCUGAGGUGUGAUGACGAGGCACUACGGUGCUGAAGUAACAAAUGCCCUGCUUCCAGGAAAAGCCUCUAAGCAUCAGGUAACACGAAAUCGUACCCCAAACCGACACAGGUGGUCAGGUAGAGAAUACCAAGGCGCUUGAGAGAACUCGGGUGAAGGAACUAGGCAAAAUGGUGCCGUAACUUCGGGAGAAGGCACGCUGAUAUGUAGGUGAAGUGGUUUACCCAUGGAGCUGAAAUCAGUCGAAGAUACCAGCUGGCUGCAACUGUUUAUUAAAAACACAGCACUGUGCAAACACGAAAGUGGACGUAUACGGUGUGACGCCUGCCCGGUGCCGGAAGGUUAAUUGAUGGGGUUAUCCGUAAGGAGAAGCUCUUGAUCGAAGCCCCGGUAAACGGCGGCCGUAACUAUAACGGUCCUAAGGUAGCGAAAUUCCUUGUCGGGUAAGUUCCGACCUGCACGAAUGGCGUAAUGAUGGCCAGGCUGUCUCCACCCGAGACUCAGUGAAAUUGAACUCGCUGUGAAGAUGCAGUGUACCCGCGGCAAGACGGAAAGACCCCGUGAACCUUUACUAUAGCUUGACACUGAACACUGGUCCUUGAUGUGUAGGAUAGGUGGGAGGCUUUGAAGUGUGGACGCCAGUCUGCAUGGAGCCAUCCUUGAAAUACCACCCUUUAAUGGCUGGUGUUCUAACGUAGACCCGUUACCCGGGUUGCGGACAGUGUCUGGUGGGUAGUUUGACUGGGGCGGUCUCCUCCU
rnacentral:rRNA from 1 species